rnacentral:rRNA from 1 species
GAAUCAUCGAAUCUUUGAACGCACAUUGCGCCCGCCAGUAUUCUGGCGGGCAUGCCUGUUCGAGCGUCAUUUCAACCAUCAAGCCCCCGGCUUGUGUUGGGGACCUGCGGCUGCCGCAGGCCCUGAAAACCAGUGGCGGGCUCGCUAGUCACUCCGAGCGUAGUAGUAUUAUCUCGCUCAGGGCGUGCUGCGGGUUCCGGCCGUUAAAAAGCCUUUUUUACCCAAGGUUGACCUCGGAUCAGGUAGGAAGACCCGCUGAACUUAAGCAUAUCAAUAAGCGGAGGAAAAGAAACCAACAGGGAUUGCCCUAGUAACGGCGAGUGAAGCGGCAACAGCUCAAAUUUGAAAUCUGGCCUCGGCCCGAGUUGUAAUUUGCAGAGGAAGCUUUAGGCGCGGCACCAACUGAGUCCCCUGGAACGGGGCGCCAUAGAGGGUGAGAGCCCCGUAUAGUUGGACGCCUAGCCUGUGUAAAGCUCCUUCGACGAGUCGAGUAGUUUGGGAAUGCUGCUCAAAAUGGGAGGUAAAUUUCUUCUAAAGCUAAAUACCGGCCAGAGACCGAUAGCGCACAAGUAGAGUGAUCGAAAGAUGAAAAGCACUUUGAAAAGAGGGUUAAAUAGCACGUGAAAUUGUUGAAAGGGAAGCGCUUGUGACCAGACUUGCGCCGGGCGGAUCAUCCGGUGUUCUCACCGGUGCACUCCGCCCGGCUCAGGCCAGCAUCGGUUCUCGCGGGGGGAUAAAGGUCCCGGGAACGUAGCUCCUCCGGGAGUGUUAUAGCCCGGGGCGUAAUGCCCUCGCGGGGACCGAGGUUCGCGCAUCUGCAAGGAUGCUGGCGUAAUGGUCAUCAGCGACCCGUCUUGAAACACGGACCAAGGAGUCAAGGUUUUGCGCGAGUGUUUGGGUGUAAAACCCGCACGCGUAAUGAAAGUGAACGUAGGUGAGAGCUUCGGCGCAUCAUCGACCGAUCCUGAUGUUUUCGGAUGGAUUUGAGUAGGAGCGUUAAGCCUUGGACCCGAAAGAUGGUGAACUAUGCUUGGAUAGGGUGAAGCCAGAGGAAACUCUGGUGGAGGCUCGCAGCGGUUCUGACGUGCAAAUCGAUCGUCAAAUCUGAGCAUGGGGGCGAAAGACUAAUCGAACCAUCUAGUAGCUGGUUACCGCCGAAGUUUCCCUCAGGAUAGCAGUGUUGUUCUUCAGUUUUAUGAGGUAAAGCGAAUGAUUAGGGACUCGGGGGCGCUUUUUAGCCUUCAUCCAUUCUCAAACUUUAAAUAUGUAAGAAGCCCUUGUUACUUAAUUGAACGUGGGCAUUCGAAUGUACCAACACUAGUGGGCCAUUUUUGGUAAGCAGAACUGGCGAUGCGGGAUGAACCGAACGCGGGGUUAAGGUGCCGGAGUGGACGCUCAUCAGACACCACAAAAGGCGUUAGUACAUCUUGACAGCAGGACGGUGGCCAUGGAAGUCGGAAUCCGCUAAGGACUGUGUAACAACUCACCUGCCGAAUGUACUAGCCCUGAAAAUGGAUGGCGCUCAAGCGUCCCACCCAUACCCCGCCCUCAGGGUAGAAACGAUGCCCUGAGGAGUAGGCGGCCGUGGAGGUCAGUGACGAAGCCUAGGG